ACAUGCCUACAACAUAACAUUAAUGCACCAAAUCCCAUUAGAAAUCCACAGUUAAGUGUGCUCAGGAUAGAGUAGUAUUGGGAUGAGUGACCGCUCGGGAAGUCCUAGUAUUUUACAUGCC
rfam:Picea glauca, whole genome shotgun sequence.